ensembl:lncRNA
GCCGGCCAAGGCAACAACAAAAUACUCAGAGCCAGAGGGUAUCAAACUCUGACAUCUCGACUCUUUGUUUCAUAAUCGUUUCUGGUACUGGUAUGUGCAGUUGGCUUCUUUGCAACAGAAGCUGCUUGCGGUUGUCAGAGGGCCGUCAAAUGUGAUGUGAUGCAAAGCUGUGGACCAGGGUGGAGCAAGGCAUCGUACUGUAGCGUCUGGUGGGCAGUGUACCUGAAGCCACGACCCUCAGCUCCCCAGGCGGGCACACUAACCACUGCUCCAAGUAAGGAUAUCCCAUUAGUAGGGAGUCUAUAAAGCAUAAUCCAGGUCAGACGCAUGACCACAUGGACAGAGACAACCUGGGGGGGAGGAAUGGUCAGUGGAGUGGCAGCUGGAAUCGUCAGGUAUCGUCUUGAUCUGCAACACAACCAGGAGGACUUUGAACAUGGACAGCUAUGAGUCUUUCGAGCCUGGUGCUCCUGAGGUGUGGUCCAAAACCUCAUGUCCUCAUAAGUUUAAAUGGAGCAAGAGACAAGGAAAGUUUAGAGAGCGCAUUCCUUACAUUAACAAGGCUUUACAAUGGAGAAGGAGAACUGGCCUCCAGUUAUAUUGUGGUGUAAAACCUUGGGGCUGAGACAGGGGGGUCCGGUGACACUGUGGAUCUAAUAACUUCAGGAAGUCAAUCCACCCACAUUGCCAAACAUCAAAGGGAAACCAACUAACCGCAACCAACCUGAAUGAGGGCUGAGUAUCGCCCACAGAGUUCACUCCCAUUACCCGAGGACAGCAACAGAGAGGCAACAGUAAGGCAAUGACUCCACCCCCGAAUGGCAUUCCAGUUUAUGGAAUCCCACAUUUUUAAGUGGAUAUAUCUGACCAACAUGUUUAAGGUCAUUCCAGAAUCGGAGGACAAUUUAAGCAUCAACACUUUUCAAUAAUGAAACCUUUAUUUUAACAUUUUCUGUUAUGUAUUUAAGAAAAACAGGUAAUAAAUCAAACAAUUUGAUUUGUCCAGUUCAGGCAUCAAAGGUACACUUUUUUUGAGCUUUUUUAUUUGUUGUGUGCUAUGCUAGAUGCAACCCUGUUACGAAUACUCAGGAAUUUGUUAUUAAAUACUUUAUCAUUAAGUAAAGAAUGUCACAUACCCAUUGAAUACUCAUUUAAUUUCAGAUAAGACUUAACAUAUUAAUUUAAGCAACUUUUGAAAUCUAUUCUGCACAACUUUUCAAUAGUCAGUUUUUCAGUGAUUAUUUUCAAAUAUCUGCUCAAAUAUGUUAUGCAUAUAAACUAUUAAAAGAACAAUAGGUUAAACCCUUGU